CUGCUGCGAAACGCCUCUCUCGAUUUUCAACCGGGCUCGUGGGGCUGAAUUUAGACGUUGACCGCGAACCAUGUCGUGUUUUUCAGGCGCCGCCAUCCUCGCUGGGGAGGGAAAAAAGUUUCCUUUGCUUCAGGAUGAGCUGACCAGGCGGCCUCCAACUGAGACGUCCUCACGGUUCAGGAAGAAGACACGGAAACCACCGAAGGAGGGGAAGGACGCCCAGGUGCCAUUGGGGACUUGGCCACCAAGAUCCUGCACCUGCUGGGCAAAAACAAAACUGAACAUGCAGAAGGUCUCUUGGUCAGCAGUUCUGCAGUCACGGGGACCUGAGGAACGAGAUGUUACCCCAAAGUCGCACUCCAGCCAGAACAAGGUCUUGACCUUUUUGCUCCUGGACACUUGGAUGUUCUUGCUACCAACGUCCACCGGGUGGUGCUGAAGAAUCCCUGGAGAACCUGAUCGUGGCUCAGCUGGUGAAGUCAAUCUCAAAGCCUGGAACCUGUUGGAAAACAGACCGAAUUUACAGUUUGUCGCUGUAGGUGGCGGAAACCUGGCGUCAACUUGAGUUCCCCCAAAGUUGCACUCGGAGAUGUGCUCCAGCAAAAACCCUCAAGAUUUUACCUGGACAUUUGAAUGUUCUUGAAGUCAAAGUCUGUCAGGUGGCAGAAAUGUGGAGUGAUGGUCAACUUCCUGUCCAACAUGUUGAGAUCACCUUCCGGUCCAAGUGCCAUCGGGACUGCCACCAAGAUCCUGCACCGACUGUGCAAAAGAAGAAAUUCACAUGAAUAG